rnacentral:rRNA from 1 species
GGGGACCAUCCUCCAAGGCUAAAUACUCCUGACUGACCGAUAGUGAACCAGUACCGUGAGGGAAAGGCGAAAAGAACCCCGGCGAGGGGAGUGAAAAAGAACCUGAAACCGUGUACGUACAAGCAGUGGGAGCACCUUCGGGUGUGACUGCGUACCUUUUGUAUAAUGGGUCAGCGACUUAUAUUCUGUAGCAAGGUUAACCGUAUAGGGGAGCCGCAGGGAAACCGAGUCUUAACUGGGCGUUAAGUUGCAGGGUAUAGACCCGAAACCCGGUGAUCUAGCCAUGGGCAGGUUGAAGGUUGGGUAACACUAACUGGAGGACCGAACCGACUAAUGUUGAAAAAUUAGCGGAUGACUUGUGGCUGGGGGUGAAAGGCCAAUCAAACCGGGAGAUAGCUGGUUCUCCCCGAAAGCU